GAUGAACGCUGGCGGCGUGCCUAAUACAUGCAAGUCGAGCGAACAGACGAGGAGCUUGCUCCUCUGACGUUAGCGGCGGACGGGUGAGUAACACGUGGAUAACCUACCUAUAAGACUGGGAUAACUUCGGGAAACCGGAGCUAAUACCGGAUAAUAUAUUGAACCGCAUGGUUCAAUAGUGAAAGACGGUUUUGCUGUCACUUAUAGAUGGAUCCGCGCCGCAUUAGCUAGUUGGUAAGGUAACGGCUUACCAAGGCAACGAUGCGUAGCCGACCUGAGAGGGUGAUCGGCCACACUGGAACUGAGACACGGUCCAGACUCCUACGGGAGGCAGCAGUAGGGAAUCUUCCGCGAUGGGCGAAAGCAUGACGGAGCAACGCCGCGUGAGUGAUGAAGGUCUUCGGUUCGUAAAACUCUGUUAUUAGGGAAGAACAAAUGUGUAAGUAACUAGGCACGUCUUGACGGUACCUAAUCAGAAAGCCACGGCUAACUACGUG
rnacentral:rRNA from 1 species